UACGUAGGGUGCAAGCGUUUGUCCGGAAUUAUUGGGCGUAAAGGGCUCGUAGGCGGUCCAUCGCGUCGGGAGUGAAAAGCUGGGGCUUAACCCCAGUCCUGCUUCCGAUACGGGUGGACUAGAGGUAUGCAGGGGAGAACGGAAUUCCUGGUGUGAGCGGUGAAAUGCGCAGAUAUCAGGAGGAACACCGGUGGCGAAGGCGGUUCUCUGGGCAUUACCUGACGCUGAGGAGCGAAAGCAUGGGGAGCAAACAGG
rnacentral:rRNA from 1 species